ACGAACGCUGGCGGCAUGCCUAACACAUGCAAGUCGAACGAGACCUUCGGGUCUAGUGGCGCACGGGUGCGUAACGCGUGGGAACCUGCCCUUAGGUUCGGAAUAACUCCCCGAAAGGGGUGCUAAUACCGGAUAAUGUCUUCGGACCAAAGAGUUAUCGCCUUUGGAUGGGCCCGCGUUGGAUUAGCUAGUUGGUAGGGUAAAAGCCUACCAAGGCGACGAUCCAUAGCUGGUCUGAGAGGAUGAGCAGCCACACUGGGACUGAGACACGGCCCAGACUCCUACGGGAGGCAGCAGUGGGGAAUAUUGGACAAUGGGCGAAAGCCUGAUCCAGCAAUGCCGCGUGAGUGAUGAAGGCCUUAGGGUUGUAAAGCUCUUUUACCCGGGAUGAUAAUGACAGUACCGGGAGAAUAAGCUCCGGCUAACUCCGUG
rnacentral:rRNA from 1 species